AGCACUUGGAGGUUUAUCUGUGUCCUCAGGGUCACCUGAGUAGUGCUCCUGGUUCCUGUAGUCUGCAAUUUUUCCUUUGGAAAUCCAUUCCUACUCCCACUCCAUCCCAAGGGUGUUCAUCCCAAAUUGCGUCGCUAAACGUCUGUGGGGAUUCUCAGUCAUCCAGGUCAUGGUUGUCCCAAAGAUGCUUUUUUUCGGGAGGCAACUGGACUUUUUUGUUUUCCUUUGGAAGACGUUUCACUUCUCAUCCAAGAAGCUUCUUCAGCUCUGACAGUGAAGGAUAGUGGGGAAUGAAGGGGAAUCCUUGUCAGAGCUGAGAUGCUUCUUGGAUGAGAAGCGAAAUGUCUUCCAAAGGGGGGGGGGGGAACCAAGGAAGUGCAGUUGCUUCCUGAAAAAUGCAAGGAAUAUAAAUCCUUCCCUUCCCCACCAUCCAGUCAGAGCUGAAGAAGCUUCUUGGAUGAGAAGCGAAAUGUCUUCAAAAGCAAAAACAAGAAAGUCUUGAAAAAGCACCUUCUUUGGGACAACCAUGACCUGGAUGACUGAGAAUCUCUAUAUACUCCGUGUCUUUUGCUUAUCCAGGAUAAGAAAACCACACAUGUGCCAAUGCGCAUCCUGCUGCUGUUCCCGGGCGGAACUUAGUAAAGGAGAAGGCAACUGUAAGCCAAAGGAAAGGCAGGAGCAAAGAAAAGGAAAUGUAACAAACAAAGAAAACAAAAAAAAAUAUUUACUGUAAAUCUCCAUCCUGGCAUCCAGGUUUCUAUCCUGGCAAAGCCAUCUUCCUUUCCCCUGAUUUACAGCUAGAUUACCUUUUGUUCCUUCAAUUUCUCCCCUCUCUUUCCAAAGGUUAGCCCAAAAGAGGCAACUGGACUUUCUUGUUUUUCCUUUGAAGAUCUUUUGCUUCAAAUAAAAACCCUUCCCCACCAUCCAGUCAGAACUGAAGAAGCUUCUUGGAUGAGAAUCGAAAUGUCUUCAAAGAAAAAACAAGAAAGGCCAAUUGCCUCCUGAAAAAGCACCCUUGGGACAAUCAUGGAUGACUGAGAAUCUCUAUACAUUUUUAGCUAUCCAAUAUGGGAUGAACACACUUCAAGGAUGCACAGAUUUCCAGGGGGGAAAAAUUGCAGACUCCAGGAACCAGGAGCACUACUCAGGUGACCCAAGUGUUUCAAGGACUCUGUAAAAGGAUGCAAAUGAAUAUAAAUCCUUGAAUUAUAUCCUUGCUGUCUGCAAGGAAUAUAAAAUCCUUCCAUUCCCACAAUCCAGUCAAAGCUGAAUAAGUUUCUUGGAUGAGAAGCGAAACGUCUUCAAAGAAAAAACAAGGAAGUUUCCUGAAAAAGCACAUUUGGGACAACCAUGACUUGGAUGACUGAGAAUCUCUAUAGACUUUUUCCAAAGUUUACCAACUCCAAACAACCACCACUUUCUCAGUUUUCCACCUUUUUUUUCCACCCCUUCCCUCUUCCUUCCUAUAGUUUGCAAAUGGUUCUCAUUCACUCUCUCUAAAACGAAACUCGUUGGCAAACUGUACUGGUUUCUGUGUUUGGCAUCCAGAUACUCUUGAUAUUAUCUCCUCUUAUACGCCCUUCUUAAAUUCUCACUGAUGUAACUACUGUUCCAUUUCUCUUGGCGUACCCAGCUCUCACUCCCAUAUAACAAAAUAGACAGAAAUUCUCUUGUAUGCGGUCAUUUUUGCUUCUCUUGGCAAACAUUCAUUUCUCCCAACAAACUACAAAUUACCUGAUAACUAUUCUAUCAGCAUUUAUACUUCUGCAAAUUUCUUAAUCUAUUUUCCCAUGGUCACCUGGGCCACCUUUUCUUAAACUCCAUGGCAUAGGACCGGGUUAUAUACGAGACCGCCUUCUGCCAUCAACAACCUCCCACCGGCCAAUACGCUCCCACAGAGAGGGGCUCCUCAGGGUGCCGUUGGCCAAACAAUGUCGACUGGCGACACCCAGGGGGAAAGCCUUCUCUGUGGGGGCACCAGCCCUCUGGAAUGAGCUGCCCCUAGAGCUCAGUCUUAGCCCCGACCUGCAUACUUUUCGCCGCACCCUUAAGACCUUCCUGUUCCAGCAAGCCAGACUGGCCUAAUAUGAAUCUUAUUAUGGGUGUAUGUGUGUUUUAAAUCUGCGGGCCAAUUUUAUAUAUUGAUUUUAAUUUGGUUUUAAAUUUUAUAAAUCUAUGUGUUUUAAUAUGGCUGUACACCGCCCUGAGUCCUUCGGGAGAAGGGCGGUAUAGAAAUCUAAUAAACUUGAAACUUGAAACUGA